GGCGAUCAGAUACCGCCCUAGUUCUGACCGUAAACGAUGCCAACUAGCGAUCCGCCGGUGGAUUUUUAGCCCUGGUGGGUAGCUUCCCGGAAACGAAAGUCUUCCGGUUCCGGGGGAAGUAUGGUUGCAAAGCUGAAACUUAAAGGAAUUGACGGAAGGGCACCACCAGGAGUGGAGCCUGCGGCUUAAUUUGACUCAACACGGGGAAACUCACCCGGCCCGGACACCGUAAGGAUUGACAGAUUGAUAGCUCUUUCAUGAUUCGGUGGUUGGUGGUGCAUGGCCGUUCUUAGUUCGUGGAUCGAUUUGUCUGGUUUAUUCCGAUAACGAGCGAGACUCUAGCCUACUAAAUAGUAACGAGAUUAUCAAUGUCUCAGCUGCUUCUUAGAGGGAUUUUCGGUGUUUAGCCGCACGAGAUUGAGCAAUAACAGGUCUGUGAUGCCCUUAGAUGUCCGGGGCUGCACGCGCGCUACACUGGCGAAAUCAGCGUGCUGUAUCCAUUCUCGAAAGGGAUUGGUAAACCCAUGAAAAUUUGCCGUGCUUGGGAUCGGAAAUUGCAAUUAUUUUCCGUGAACGAGGAAUUCCAAGUAAGUGCGAGUCAUCAACUCGCUCUGAUUACGUCCCUGCCCUUUGU
rnacentral:rRNA from 1 species